AGAAUGGCACUCCACAGAAGAAAGCAAGGAAAGUGUUUAGAAAGUGAUCUAAAGCUUCUACCCCACUAGUAGCAAGCAAGGGUGGUUCCAAGGAUCACUGAAUAAACGUCUCUACUUCUCCAUUUAGGAGAGUUACUUCCAUCCUCUUCUAGUGUUCUCCUCUCAUGGACCUUGUGCUAUUUCUUACUCUUCCCUAUACAUCUCCACACAACCGAACCCCCUUCCACCCUCUGAUUAAUCAAAUCAAAUGGACAUCAAUGUGACCUGUCUUUAGAUACUAAAAAAAUCAGGAUUAUGGAUGACUG
rnacentral:lncRNA from 1 species